rnacentral:rRNA from 1 species
UGGAUAACUUCAGGAAACUGGGGCUAAUACCGGAUAGGAGCUCCUGCUGCAUGGUGGGGGUUGGAAAGUUUCGGCGGUUGGGGAUGGACUCGCGGCUUAUCAGCUUGUUGGUGGGGUAGUGGCUUACCAAGGCUUUGACGGGUAGCCGGCCUGAGAGGGUGACCGGCCACAUUGGGACUGAGAUACGGCCCAG